GAUGAACGCUGGCGGCGUGCCUAAUACAUGCAAGUCGAGCGAACGGACGAGAAGCUUGCUUCUCUGAUGUUAGCGGCGGACGGGUGAGUAACACGUGGAUAACCUACCUAUAAGACUGGGAUAACUUCGGGAAGCCGGAGCUAAUACCGGAUAAUAUUUUGAACCGCAUGAUUCAAAAGUGAAAGACGGUCUUGCUGUCACUUAUAGAUGGAUCCGCGCUGCAUUAGCUAGUUGGUAAGGUAACGGCUUACCAAGGCAACGAUGCAUAGCCGACCUGAGAGGGUGAUCGGCCACACUGGAACUGAGACACGGUCCAGACUCCUACGGGAGGCAGCAGUAGGGAAUCUUCCGCAAUGGGCGAAAGCCUGACGGAGCAACGCCGCGUGAGUGAUGAAGGUCUUCGGAUCGUAAAACUCUGUUAUUAGGGAAGAACAUAUGUGUAAGUAACUGUGCACAUCUUGACGGUACCUAAUCAGAAAGCCACGGCUAACUACGUG
rnacentral:rRNA from 1 species